rnacentral:rRNA from 1 species
AGCAGCCGCGGUAAUUCCAGCUCCAAUAGCGUAUAUUAAAGUUGUUGCAGUUAAAAAGCUCGUAGUUGAAUUUCGGGGUUAGUAGGUUGGUCAUGCCUCUGGUAUGUACUGGUCUCACUGAUUCCUCCUUCCUGAUGAACCUUAAUGCCAUUUAUUUGGUGUUUUGGGGAAUUUGGACUGUUACUUUGAAAAGAUUAGAGUGUUUAAAGCAAGCUAACGCUUGAAUACAUUAGCAUGGAAUAAUGAAAUAGGACGUUCGAUCCUAUUUUGUUGGUUUCUAGGAUUGACGUAAUGAUUAAUAGGGAUAGUUGGGGGCAUUAGUAUUCAAUUGUCAGAGGUGAAAUUCUUGGAUUUAUUGAAGACUAACUACUGCGAAAGCAUUUGCCAAGGAUGUUUUCAUUAAUCAAGAACGAAAGUUAGGGGAUCGAAGACGAUCAGAUACCGUCGUAG